rnacentral:rRNA from 1 species
GACGAACGCUGGCGGCGUGCCUAACACAUGCAAGUCGAGCGGAGAUGUACUGAAGAUUUAUCGGAUGUACAUCUUAGCGGCGGACGGGUGAGUAACGCGUGGGCAACCUGCCUUCCACUGGGGGAUAACACAGGGAAACCUGUGCUAAUACCGCAUGACAUCACAUAGGGCAUCCUGUGUGAUCAAAGGAGUGAUCCGGUGGAAGAUGGGCCCGCGUCCGAUUAGCUAGUUGGUGAGGUAACGGCUCACCAAGGCGACGAUCGGUAGCCGGACUGAGAGGUUGGCCGGCCACAUUGGGACUGAGACACGGCCCAGACUCCUACGGGAGGCAGCAGUGGGGAAUAUUGCGCAAUGGGGGGAACCCUGACGCAGCGACGCCGCGUGAAGGAAGAAGGCCUUCGGGUUGUAAACGUUCUUUGAUGAGGGACGAAGGAAGUGACGGUACCGUCAAAACAAGACCACGGCUAACUACGUGCCAGCAGCCGCGGUAAUAGUC